CUCGACUUGAUCCCCCGUAUGCUACACAGACUGACAAGAGAAUGAUAUUUACUUGAAGAAUGGCUCAGACAGAGCCUUUAUUUCGGGGGAAACACGAAUUUUAUUAAUUGUGAACAGUAGUGGUAACGCGGGGCAUUUUUACAGCGUAUGGAGAUGAUCACAAGAGUCGCUAAAACCACGAACAGAGGAAAAACACAUGCUCACGGAAAUGGCUUAUCGUCAUAAACAUUGAGAGGGACUUUGUUUAUGCAACAGACUUUUUAUAAAGUGACAAAACUGAAAGAGGGAGACAUUUAAGAGAAGUGGAAGGUGGUCCCUGAUGCAAGAAGGAAGCUACAGCUCAAAGAUAAAUGCAUUUAGCAAGAAGAUCAAGUUAGAAGUAUUUCCUGAUCUCCAUAAUGUAGCUUCAUCAAGUAAUCUAUACAGGUCACAGAGUCCAUUAUUACACUCAGCAUCAGAGUAUCUUCAGGGUAACUGCAACCAGACUUUGUUUUAUCCACCAAAUAGGAAUGUUUAUAGGGACGAGGAGAAUAUAUCAAAUAAUUACAUUCGUGCUUCAACCAUAAAACUUCUGGAUACGUAUCAGAGAUGUGGAAUUAAACGUAAAUGUGAGGAAUUGGAAAUACCAAUGCAGCUCACGGACGUUCAAACAGUACCAAGCGAGGAUGAGAAGCCCCUUAUUGCCACGACAACUACGAACACAACGAACACCUCCAAGAAUACGUCGUCCUCAAACAGCGAAGGGGACUACCAGUUAGUCCAGCACGAGGUGUUGUACUCUUUAACGAGUCACAAUGCCUACGAAGUGCUGGAAUUUCUUGGUCGUGGCACAUUUGGUCAAGUGGUCAAAUGUUGGAAGAAAGGAACCAAUGAAAUAGUAGCAAUAAAAAUCUUGAAAAACCACCCUUCGUAUGCAAGGCAGGGCCAGAUCGAAGUCAGCAUAUUAACAAGACUGAGCCAUGAAAAUGCUGACGAGUACAACUUUGUGCGUGCAUAUGAAUGUUUUCAGCACAAAAACCAUACUUGCUUGGUUUUCGAGAUGCUUGAACAGAAUUUAUAUGACUUUUUGAAGCAAAACAAAUUUCAGCCUCUACCCCUGAAAUACAUCCGUCCUAUAACGCAACAAGUGUUGACAGCAUUGCUGAAGCUAAAGAGUUUACAUUUGAUUCAUGCUGAUCUAAAGCCAGAAAACAUCAUGUUGGUGGACCCAGCUCGAAUGCCUUACUAAAGUGAAAGUCAUUGAUUUUGGUUCUGCUAGUCAUGUGUCCAAAGCAGUCUGUUCUACAUAUCUGCAGUCAAGAUAUUACAGAGCCCCUGAGAUCCUGCUUGGCCUUCCAUUUUGUGAAGCCAUUGACAUGUGGUCCCUGGGCUGUGUGAUAGCAGAACUGUUUUUAGGCUGGCCCCUAUAUCCAGGCUCUUCAGAAUAUGACCAGAUUCGCUACAUCUCCCAGACACAAGGCUUGCCAGCUGAACAUAUGCUGAGUGCAGCUACCAAAACAACCAGAUUCUUCAUCCGAGAAAACACAGACAGCAACUAUCCUUUCUGGAGACUGAAGACACCAGAAGAACAUGAAGGUGAAACAAAAAUCAAAUCCAAAGAAGCAAGAAAGUACAUUUUUAACUGUCUGGAUGACAUGGCACAGGUAAGAGAGAUGGAGGCAGGUAUAAUGGGUGUUGCAUUCAUGAGGGAAAAGAGAUAAAAAAGAAGAAACUUAUGAACUGUCUCCAUAUUACCAAUUUAAUAUCUAAUGUCAUAAUUCUCCUAUUGAUCAAGUGAUCAUUGUAGACUUAAUGGACUCUAAGUUACAAAUGUUAAUUCAACAAAGCCAUCAAAAUCAUAAAAUGUACUGUAUACCAUGUAGGAGGAAGAUAGUUUAAAGUCUGAACUUUUGAUUGAAGGAAAAUACCAAUAUCUUUGAGAUAAAUGAUGUAAUUUAACAUUUCAGUAGGGUUGCCUUAAAAAUGUCGGAAAGUAAAGGGAACAUGAUUACCUCAGGGAAGAAAAGCUGGAUUAUGAAAACGAUUUCACAGUUCUUUUAAAAAAAACCCAUAACUUAUGAAAAUUGAAUGCAACACCCAGUUUAGUUUAAGAAAUUUAAAUUAGAAUUUCCUGUUUUACAGAACUGGCCUUUUUAUCUGUGUAUUUUUUUCCGGCAUUUAUUGUUUAUUUAAGGUUUUGUAUUGAUAACUUCCUUGACUAGGAUGACUAAGCUCGCAUAGCUUUCUGUGGCGUCAACAUGUUUCCUGCACUAAAUAUUUUGCAGAUUAUGUUUUAUGGAAACAUUUUAUAUUGCCUGGUUUCUAAGAAAGAUCAACAGAACUCUACUUCCUCCCCUUCCAAUAAUAAGUUGGUGUCCUCAAUCAUCUAUUAAUAAUAUGAUUAUAUUUGGGAAAGGUUGUUAUUGGCAAUUUUGCUAUGAACCAAAACUGAUAUCUUACAAAAAUAACAUGUCUACGGCAUC
rnacentral:misc_RNA from 1 species